GACGAACGCUGGCGGCGUGCUUAACACAUGCAAGUCGAGCGGUAAGGCCCUUUCGGGGGUACGACGAGCGGCGAACGGGUGAGUAACACGUGGGUGACCUGCCCUCAGCUCUGGGAUAAGCCCGGGAAACUGGGUCUAAUACCGGAUAUGACUCCAUGACGCAUGUUGUGGGGUGGAAAGCCUUGUGCGGCUGAGGAUGGGCCCGCGGCCUAUCAGCUUGUUGGUGGGGUGAUGGCCACCAAGGCGACGACGGGUAGCCGGCCUGAGAGGGCGACCGGCCACACUGGGACUGAGAUACGGCCCAGACUCCUACGGGAGGCAGCAGUGGGGAAUCUUGCGCAAUGGGCGAAAGCCUGACGCAGCGGCGCCGCGUGAGGGAUGACGGCCU
rnacentral:rRNA from 1 species